ACGAGGAAGGAAAAGUUAACGCGGAAAAAAAAGUCGGAGCGGACAUUUCUCUCAAAACCUCUCCUUUUCUCUCCUCUUUCCCCUCCGUCGGAGCCCCUCUGUCGCUGCCUCUUCCUCUCCAUCAAAGCUGCAUUUCUUGAGCCAACUUCGCGCUACGUCCUAACACGUAGGUUGGCUGAAAGAAGCUGCAUUUCCAGUAUGAUACGGAGGCAUCUAAGCGAGCUUGGAAAAUCGCUUGCUCCUUCUCCCCUGCGGUUGUUGAGGUCCCAAGGGGAGAGACGUUUGUGAUUGGCCCAAUCGACUUCCCUGGAGGUUGUUCAUCCAAAGUUGCUCUGUUGAAUGUGUGCCCCUGCGAUGACUUCCACUUUGUUGCUGAUCGUCCUGCAGAGCAUUCUUAAGUCAAGGGGAGAAAUGAGUAGCAUGAAUUAUGUUUUAAAGAUUCUUUAUGGUGUUGCGAUAGGACACUAUAUUUUAAGAAUUUUGCUCCAAAGUCGUGAAGAAAGGAUUUUGUGUCUCUGUGACCCUGUGGUCUGUUCUUAGUGCUGGUUAAGGUGGUUUUCCAGUAUUGCAGUAUUGCACUAAAUAAUGAAUAAAAUUUUGCACUAAUAGAUCUCAGAUGUAAGACUGAUUGAAUAAAGAAGAACAUGCAAGAAAGUGUUCAUGAAGAUCAGGAAGAAAGUGUUCAAGAAAAUGCACGAAAGUGUACAUUUUACUUUUG